rnacentral:lncRNA from 1 species
GGCCCCGCCCACCCUGAGCCGCCGCCGGGCCCAGCUCCGCAGCCCGGUUCCGAGAAGGAUGAUCGGGGUUGCGGAAAUGCGUCCCUCCCGCACUCAGGGCUGGGGCCACGCCAGGGCGUGGUCCCAGAGUGAGGAUUCUUUGGGGCUUGGAGGCUGCCCACCGGCCGCUCCCGUGAGGACCUUUGGAGAGUGGGAUGAGGGGUCUCCAGAACGUCCCCCUGACGCUUCACUGCCACCCUGUGAGGUCAGCACUAUUAUUACUCCCGCUUGUGGGGCGCAGAGAGGGAGGGGGCUGGCUCUCAAGCCCACAGCCUGUAAGAGCUGGAGCUGGCUGGGAGCCCAGGGAGGAAGCUGGGGUGGGUACAGAGCGGAGGAGGCUGCGUGCGAGCCGUGGGCGCUAAGUCCCCCCAGGGAGCCAGUUAUUUAGGUCUGAAGUUCAGGAAGAGGCAGGUUGGAACUGGCACUGUGGGCGCCCUCGGGGGAGGGGGGUUGAUGAAUCUUGGGGAGGUGCCCCCCCAGGAAGAGUGGGUACAGACCGGACAGAGGAGGGCUCUGUGUCCCAGGGAACCCCUGAGGCCGUGGUGGGAGGGGGAGCAGACGGCAGAGUGAAGCGGGGGCGGGGAGGAGGGGGACACCUCUAGGGAGCAGCCUGGCUGUGAAAAGGCACAGGGGCGGGACAGUAGCUACCGGGGGUGUGGAGUCCAGAGCUGAGGGGGGUUCCCGUUUCAGUUCAGUUUGGCCGAGGCCCGGUAGCGGGUGGAGCCGGGUCCUGGCUGUGGCCACGCCCUCUGCACUCUCUAGGGGGCGGUGCUGCCCCGGGCCCGUCAAGGGUGACACCCCCGGAUGUGGCCUCUCAGGUCACUG